GUGGGGAAUAUUGGACAAUGGGCGAAAGCCUGAUCCAGCCAUGCCGCGUGUGUGAAGAAGGUCUUCGGAUUGUAAAGCACUUUAAGUUGGGAGGAAGGGCAGUAAGUUAAUACCUUGCUGUUUUGACGUUACCGACAGAAUAAGCACCGGCUAACUUCGUGCCAGCAGCCGCGGUAAUACGAAGGGUGCAAGCGUUAAUCGGAAUUACUGGGCGUAAAGCGCGCGUAGGUGGUUUUGUAAGUUGGAGGUGAAAUCCCCGGGCUCAACCGGGGAACUGCCUCCAAAACUGCAUGACUAGAGUACGGUAGAGGGUAGUGGAAUUGCCUGUGUAGCGGUGAAAUGCGUAGAUAUAGGAAGGAACACCAGUGGCGAAGGCGACUACCUGGACUGAUACUGACACUGAGGUGCGAAAGCGUGGGGAGCAAACAGGAUUAGAUACCCGAGUAGUCC
rnacentral:rRNA from 1 species